rnacentral:tRNA from 1 species
GCCUCAGUGGCUCAGCCUGGUAGAGCACGUCCUUGGUAAGGACGGGGUCGCGAGUUCAAAUCUCGUCUGAGGCU